CGCGGGAUUAGGCACGGGGGGACGGGGCGCAGCAGGCGCGAAAACUCUGCAAUACACGGAAGUGUGACAGGGCUAUCCCGAGUGCCAUCCGCUGAGGAAGGCUUUUACCCAGUUUAGCACGCUGGGGGAAUAAGGAGAGGGCAAGACUGGUGUCAGCCGCCGCGGUAAUACCAGCUCUCCGAGUGGUGUGGAUGUUUAUUGGGCCUAAAGCAUCCGUAGCUGGCUGGACAAGUCCCCUGUUAAAUCCACCGAUUUAAUCGUUGGAGUGCGGGGGAUACUGUUCGGCUAGGGGACGGGAGAGGCAGACGGUAUUUCCGGGGUAGGGGUGAAAUCCUAUAAUCCCGGGAAGACCACCAGUGGCGAAGGCUGUCUGCUAGAACGCGCCCGACGGUGAGGGAUGAAAGCUGGGGGAGCGAACCGGAUUAGAUACCCGGGUAGUCCCAGCUGUAAACGAUGCAGGCUAGGUGUUUGGACGGCCACGUGCCGUUCUAGUGCCGCAGGGAAAGCCGUUAGCCUGCCGCCUGGGGAGUACGGCCGCAAGGCUGAAACUUAAAGGAAUGGGCGGGGGAGCACCACAGGGGGUGAAGCUGCGGGUUUAAUGGGAGUCAACGCCCGAAAUCUCACCGGGAGCGACAGCAGUGUGAAGGCCAGAUUGAAGGUCUUGCUGGACGAGCUGAGAGGAGGUGCAUGGCCGUCGCCAGUUCGUGCCGUGAGGUGUCCUGUUAAGUCAGGCAACGAUCGAGACCCGCGUCCUCUGUUGCUACUGGUUUUGUGCCAGGCACACUGAGGAGACCGCCGCUGAUAAAGCGGAGGAAGGAGCGGGCCACGGCAGGUCAGUAUGCCCCGAAUCUCCCGGGCCACACGCGAGCUGCAAUGGCAGGUACAAUUGGUUCCGACCUCGAAAGGGGAAGGCAAUCCCGAAAGCCUGCCGUAGUUGGGAUCGAGGGUUGAAACCCAUCCUCGUGAACAUGGAAUCCCUAGUAAUCGCGUGUCACUAGCGCGCGGUGAAUACGUCCCUGCUCCUUGCACGAAUUCGCCGAAUCACUAGU
rnacentral:rRNA from 1 species